rnacentral:rRNA from 1 species
AUAUAAUUAUAUAAAUAUAAUUUUAAAAAAAAAAAAAAAAAAAAAAAAAUUAUUAUUGUUUAAAUUUAUUAGAUUUUAUUUAUAAUAUAUAAAAAAAAUUAAAUUAAAAUUUAAUUUAAUAUUUAAAAUUAUUUAUAAUUUUAAAUAUAAUAGUAAUAGAAUUAUAAAUAAUAAAGUGCCAGCAUUUGCGGUUAUACUUUUAUAAUUUAAUAAUUAAAUUUAAAUUAUAAAUUAAUUAAAUUUUAUUGGUGAAAUAUUAAAUUUAUUUAAUUAUUAAAAACAUUUAAACUAGGAUUAGAUACCCUAUUAUUUUUUUAUUUAUCAAUAAUUAUUAUGAAUUAUUUUAAAAAUUUAAAUAAUUUGGCAGUAUUAUUAAAAAUUAGAGGAUUUUGUUUAUUAAUUGAUAAUACACAUUAUAAUUUACUUAUUUUUAUUAAAUUGUAUAUUGUUGUUAAUUAAUUAUUUUAAUAAAAAAUAAUUUAAAUAUUUUAAUUAAUGAAUUAUCAAAUCAUAAUUCAUUUUAUAAAUAAGAAUUUAAUGAAAUACAAUGAAUUUAUUUUUGAAUUUAUUUUUGUAAUAGAAUAAUGAAAUUGGAUUUAAAAUUAAAUUUUUAUAAAUUUAAUUUUUGAAUAAAAUUAAUAAUGUGUACAAAUUGCCCGUCGCUUUUAAUUUAUAUUAAAAUAAGUCGUAACAUAGUAAAUAUAUUGGAAAUUAUAUUUAGAAUUU